AUUGAACGCUGGCGGCAUGCUUUACACAUGCAAGUCGAACGGUAACAGGCCUUCGGGUGCUGACGAGUGGCGAACGGGUGAGUAAUGCAUCGGAACGUGCCCAGUCGUGGGGGAUAACUAGUCGAAAGAUUAGCUAAUACCGCAUACGACCUGAGGGUGAAAGCGGGGGACCUUAGGGCCUCGCGCGAUUGGAGCGGCCGAUGUCUGAUUAGCUAGUUGGUGGGGUAAAGGCCCACCAAGGCGACGAUCAGUAGCGGGUCUGAGAGGAUGAUCCGCCACACUGGGACUGAGACACGGCCCAGACUCCUACGGGAGGCAG
rnacentral:rRNA from 1 species